rnacentral:rRNA from 1 species
UCAUGGCUCAGAUUGAACGCUGGCGGCAUGCUUUACACAUGCAAGUUGAACGGCAGCGGGGGCUUCGGCCUGCCGGCGAGUGGCGAACGGGUGAGUAACGCAUCGGAACGUGCCCAUGUCGUGGGGGAUAACGUAGCGAAAGCUACGCUAAUACCGCAUACGUCCUGAGGGAGAAAGCGGGGGAUUCUUCGGAACCUCGCGCGAUUGGAGCGGCCGAUGUCGGAUUAGCUAGUAGGUGAGGUAAAGGCUCACCUAGGCGACGAUCCGUAGCGGGUCUGAGAGGAUGAUCCGCCACACUGGGACUGAGACACGGCCCAGACUCCUACGGGAGGCAGCAGUGGGGAAUUUUGGACAAUGGGCGCAAGCCUGAUCCAGCCAUGCCGCGUGAGUGAAGAAGGCCUUCGGGUUGUAAAGCUCUUUCGGCCGGGAAGAAAUCGUGUUCUCUAACAUAGGACAUGGAUGA